rnacentral:rRNA from 1 species
CAUGGAGGGUGAGAAUCCCGUCCGGUUGAUCAUUUGCGUUUUACGAUACGCUUUCUAAGAGUCAAGUUGUUUGGGAUUGCAGCUUAAAAUGGGAGGUAAAUUUCUCCUAAGGCUAAAUAACGGCGAGAGACCGAUAGCGAACAAGUACCGUGAGGGAAAGAUGAAAAGAACUUUGAAAAGAGAGUUAAACAGUACGUGAAAUUGUUGAAAGGGAAACGAUUGAAGCCAGUCGUACCUUCGGGUAAUCAGCCUUUCGGGUGCGAUUCUGUGGGGUUUGAGGAGCUUUAACACCUUCAUGCUUUGCAUAUUCGUGCUCUUGGGUGUACUUGCCCGUGUGGUUGGUUAACAUCAAUUUCGGGCACCAUAAAAUGGCUGGAGGAAUGUAGCUUCGAUCUUGUAUUGAAGUGUUAUAGCCUUCGGUAGAUGUGGUGAUCGAGAUUGAGGAUUGCAACGGAUACCUUUCGGGGCUACCUGUCUGAUCUCUGAUCGUUGUUUUGGUGCUGAAAGCGUGCUUAUAGUUAUCAAAGUCGAUGGUCAAUAGGUUAGAAUGGGUUAAAUUCGUUAAGGAUGUUGACGUAAUGG